CCUACGGGGGGCAGCAGUGAGGAAUAUUGGUCAAUGGACGGAAGUCUGAACCAGCCAUGCCGCGUGCAGGAUGACGGCUCUAUGAGUUGUAAACUGCUUUUGUACGAGAAUAAUAGUUCUUACGUGUAGGGAUUUGAUUGUACCUUCGGAUUAAGGAUCGGCUAAUUCCGGGCCAGCAGCCGCGGUAAUACGGAGGGUCCGAGCGUUAUCCGGAUUUAUUGGGUUUAAAGGGUGCGUAGUUGGUUGGUUAAGUUAGAGGUCAAAUGUCGGGGCUUAACCCCGUGCCUGCCUCUGAUACUGUUCGACUAGAGAGCGGAUGCAGCAGGCGGAAUGAGUAGUGUAGCGGUGAAAUGCUUAGAUAUUACUCAGAACACCGAGUGCGCAGGCAGCUUGCUAAUCCGCAUCUGACGCUGAUGCACGAAAGCGUGGGUAGCGAACAGGAUUAGAUACCCGGGUAGUC
rnacentral:rRNA from 1 species